CUCACCUCACGCCGUCUAUCUCUCAAUCUCGCUCAGUCGCUCUCAUUCUCACGAUUCUCUCGCAAUUGGUCGUCCACGCCUCCAUGGUCCAUCUCCGGCGAGCGGCUGCAGGCUUGCAGCUCCUAUAUUCUACAGCCCUUCAGCUCCAGUAGACUCAAAGUAAUUAAAAUGGAAUCAGCGGCUUCUCAUUCGCAUCCACUGUCACUUACUUCUGAACCAUUAAAGCAACAAAGCGCUUCAACAAAUAAUGAGGGUACUAGUAGAAAACUAUCAGCAGUAGAAGAUUCCUCAGAAAAACCUCCUUUAGCUCCUACAAGGAGAGGUAGAAGUCAAUAUUGGAAGCACUUCAAAAAAAACAAUGGAGUUUGUUCAAACUUUAUGGUGUGUUUUUUUGUACUUGGUUGUGUGGUAUUUUGAUUAUAGAGAUAAGAACACUAUUAAUUUUAUUGUGUUGAAGUUUUAUUAAUUUUUAUGUGAAUUUUAAGUUUUGAAA